rnacentral:rRNA from 1 species
ACGGGAGGCAGCAGUCGGGAAUAUUGCGCAAUGGAGGAAACUCUGACGCAGUGACGCCGCGUAUAGGAAGAAGGUUUUCGGAUUGUAAACUAUUGUCGAUAGGGAAGAAAAGGACUGUACCUAUCAAGAAAGCUCCGGCUAACUACGUGCCAGCAGCCGCGGUAAUACGUAGGGAGCAAGCGUUAUCCGGAUUUAUUGGGUGUAAAGGGUGCGUAGACGGGAAAUUAAGUUAGUUGUGAAAUCCCUCGGCUCAACUGAGGAACUGCAACUAAAACUGGUUUUCUUGAGUGCAGGAGAGGAAAGUGGAAUUCCUAGUGUAGCGGUGAAAUGCGUAGAUAUUAGGAGGAACACCGGUGGCGAAGGCGACUUUCUGGACAGAAACUGACGUUGAGGCACGAAAGUGUGGGGAGCAAACAGGAUUAGAUACCCUGGUA